rnacentral:rRNA from 1 species
UGGGGAAUAUUGCACAAUGGAGGGAACUCUGAUGCAGCGACGCCUCGUGAGUGAUGAAGGAAUUCGUUUCGUAAAACUCUGUUCUAUGGGAAUAAAAGGACUGUACCAUAGGAGAAAGCUCCGGCUAAAUACGUGCCAGCAGCCGCGGUAAUACGUAUGGAGCGAGCGUUGUCCGGAAUUAUUGGGCGUAAAGGGUGCGCAGGCGGCUUUACAAGUUGGAUGUGAAAUAUUGUGGCUCAACCACAAACGUGCAUCCAAAACUGCAAAGCUUGAGUUAAGGAGAGGUAAGUGGAAUUCGUGGUGUAGCGGUGGAAUGCGUAGAUAUCAGGAGGAAUACCGAUGGCGAAGGCGACUUACUGGACAUAAACUGACGCUCAGGCACGAAAGCGUGGGGAGCAAACAGG